UACAGAGGCCUCGAGCGUUAGGCGGAAUCACUGGGCUUAAAGCGUGUGUAGGCGGACUUCUAAGUACCUUGUGAAAUCCCACGGCUCAACCGUGGAACUGCUCGGUAUACUGGUUGUCUUGAGCCAUCUAGGGGCGAGCGGAACAAGUGGUGGAGCGGUGAAAUGACGGUAGAUAUCACUUGGAACGCCAACGGGUGAAAAACAGCU
rnacentral:rRNA from 1 species